CCUCACUGUUGACAAAAUAAAAAUCCUGGCCAAGUACUCUAGUAGAUCUAUCGUCUGCCGCUCUAAUUUAAGAAAUGAUUGUUUCAAUCUAGAUCUAGAAAUCAGUUGACAAUCAACUGCUAUUUGGAGACAUUUUUUUUUAAACUAACGUUUAUGUUUUACAAUGCUGUCACAUUAUAUUCUCGAAUCUUCUUGAAAAAAAUCAAUCUCCAUUACCAUUAGAUACAAGAACGCCAUUGUUUCCGACAAGUGGGCCAUUAUGCAGAAAUGCAUUAUAAAUGGGCAGGACAUAUAUGCAUCACACAAAGUACCUGAGGUUAAAGGAUCUUGGAACAAAAAAAAAAUGACAAGCAAAAAUAUGUCAAGGCCGGGCAAGGGGCUAUUCUUUUACAGGAGAAUUGUGGGACAAGACGGUAUGCAUUUGAAACCAAUUUGUUGGUUCAGAAACUUGGAGAGGUUUAUCAAUUGUUGACCCACGCACACAGAAAGGGGAGUUAAGAAGCAGAGUCAUCGUUCUUAAAAAGUCAAGAUCACGCUUAAGUUCAAGGUCAGGUUGUGUACCUGUUUUUAAAGCUACACGGAACACCAAGAAAGAAUUUUGUUUGAAUUUCUACAAUGGAAAGAAAAAAAAAUUCAAGUUUCCACUGCGUUGGUCAGCAGGGGCGAUUAUCCAGGUCUUAUUCAAACAACUCAAGGAGGGCGGUUUUAUCGUCGUAGCUAGUGAACAAUGCUUUGAACAUUCAGCAAAUAAAAUGUAGCUUAUAACGUGUGUAGACAGGUACCCACAAGCCAUUAUAUAU